CGCGCAUGCGCGGCCAGAAACGCGCCACCAGCGGAGCGCGUGUUUACGUCAGCGGAGCGCGAGCAGCGGGUCAAGUGAAGAGAUGGCGGUGGAGACUUGAGCUCGGGAGGAUGAUGGUGGUCUUCUUAAAGCAGAUGGGAACCUCUGAUUGGUUAAAAAUGUCUGCAAAUACUCCUGCCAGCUGAUCUGCACAGGAUCUAAGGACACGGCCAGCGACACCAUCUGGGCCAGAUGCUUUCUGUGGGUUCACUCUCCAGAAGACUGAUCUGACGUCUGCAACAGUGACUGUGGGUACAGGUGCAUUGGAAGCUGUUGGGGCAUAUGGUGACAUUCCAUUUCCCUUCUGUUCAAAACGUGCAUAGAAUGAAUUAACCUCAUCAGGGAGGGAUGUGCAGUUGUUGGCGAUGCUGCCCGAUUUUGUUUGGUAGCCCACUAUAACAGGCCUCCAGGUCUAUGAAGAGUCUCAGAAUAAACAUGGCUACAGUGACUCAAUCAACAUGCCAGUUCAGUCCAUGCUCCAGACCAUCUCCCAAGGCCUAAUCCAGAUACCAGGCCCUUUGACAGGCCCUAACCCAGGAUCCAGGGUAGAGACACUCAUGCAGGACUUAAUCCAGGCUCUAGAACACAUACUCAGAUGACCUAUUCCAAGGUCAGCUAUAGCCCUGAUCUGGGCAUAAUCUGACCUCUGUACCCUGGUCUGUGCCCUGUCCAGCCUUUGUACCUCUGGUCUGAGCCCCAUCCGGCCUUUGUACCCCUUGUCUGGGCCUUGGGAGAAGGGAGCUGGUUGGAACAAGAGGAAGGUGGGAGCGAUGGCUCUUGGGAGGGAGCCAGUGCAUGUGGACAAGGUACCAAAUGAGUGCUUCGCAUCAGUAUGCACCAAGGAGAAGGACAUGGAGGAUUGUGAGAUUGGGAGGGAUAUGCUGAUAUUCUGGAGCAUGUUGAGAUCAAGAAGGAGGAGGUGUUGGGUCUAUUGAAGAACAUUAAGGUGGGUAUGUCCCUAGGGCCUGAUGGGAUCUAUCCCAGGUUAUUGAGAAGUGCAAGAUAGGAGAUUGCUGGAGCCUUGAUAAAGAUCUUUGUUUCCUCUCCAGCCACAGGCAAGGCCCCAGAGGACUGGAGAGUAGCCAAUUUUGUUUCUUCAUUUAAGAAGGGCAAUAGAAAUAAUACAGAAAAUUAUGGGCUGGUGAGCCUCACAUCAGUAGUAGGGUAGAGGAUUCUUAGGGAUAGGACUUACUCACAUUUGGAAAGGGGAUAGUCGGCAUGCUCUUAUGCAAGGCAGGUCACGUCUUACAAACUUGACUGAGUUUUUUGAGGAGGUGACAAAGAUGAUUGAUGAGGGUAGGGCAGUGUACGUUGUAGUAAGGCAUUUUACAAGGUCCGUCACAGUAGGCUGACCCAGAAGAUUAUGAUGCAUGGGAUACAAGGUGACUUGGAAGAUUGGAUUCAAAAUUGGCUUGGCCAUAGAAGACAGUAGUGGAGGGGUGUUAUUCUAACUGGAGGUCUGUGACCAGUGGUGUUCUGCAGGGAUCAGUGCUGGGACCUCUUUUGAUUGUGAUAUGUAUAAAUGAUUAGGAUGAAGAUGUAGAUGUGCUAAUUAGUAAGUUCACAGACAACACAAAAAUUGGUGGAGUUGUAGAUAGUUAAGUACGUUGUCAAAGGAUAUAGCAGGAUAUAGAUCAGUUGCAGAUAUGGGUGGUGAAAUGGGAGAUGGUGUUUAAUCUGGGCAAGUGUGAGGUGUUGGACUUUGGGAUUCAAAUGCAAGGGAAUUGUACACAAUAAAUGGCAGGAUGCUUAAGAGAAUUGAUGUACAGUGGGAUCUUGGGGUCCAAGUCCAUAGCUCCCCAAAAGUGGCAACACAGGUAGAUAGGGUGGUAAAGAAGGCAUGCGGCUUUCUUGUCUUAAUCGGUCAGGGCAUUGCGUAUAAGAGUAAGGAAGUCAUGUUGCAGCUUUAUAAAACUCUGAUUAGGGUGCAUCUGGAAUAUUGCGUUAAAUUCUGGUCGACCCAUUAUAGGAAGGAUGUGGAGGCUAUGGAGAGGGUGCAGAAGAGGUUUACCAGGAUGCUGCCUGGAUGCUAUAAGGAGUGGUUGGACAAACUAGGGUUGUUUUCUCUGGAGUGGCGGAGGCUGUGGGGAGACCUAAUAGAAGUUUAUAGAGUUAUGAGAGGCACAGAUAGAAUAGGCAGCUGGUAUCUUUUUCCCAGGGUCAAAAUGUCUAAUACUAGAGGGUAUGUAUUUAAGGAAAUUCAAAGGAGAUAUACGAGGCAGUUUUUUACACAGAGUGGUAGGUGCCUGGAAUGUGCUGCCAGGGGUGGUGGUGGAAGGAGCUUUGAUAGAAGCAUUUAAGAGGCUCUUAGAUAGGCACAUGAAUAUGCAGAGAAUGGAGGGAUAUGGACCAUGUGCAGGCAGAAUAGAUUAGGUGUCAUUGCUUUCACUUGUUCGGCACAACAUCAUAGGCCAAAGAGCCUGUUACUCUGCUGUACUCUUCUAUGUUCUGUGGAAGAAAUCAAUGGGUUGAGAAGUAAAAGGGAUGGUUGA